rnacentral:misc_RNA from 1 species
AACGCACAUUGCGCCCCUCGGCAUUCCGAGGGGCAUGCCUGUUCGAGCGUCAUUACACGCCUCAAGCUCCGCUUGGUGUUGGGCCAUCGUCCGCUCGGACGUGCCCGAAACUCCUCGGCGGCGGCGCCUUUGCUUCAAGCGUAGUAAAAGAUUUGUCUCCUCGCUUUGGAAGCGGAGGUCCCGCCCGCCGGACGACCCCGAUCUUUUCUCAAAGGUUGACCUCGGAUCAGGUAGGGCUACCCGCUGAACUUAA